rnacentral:pre_miRNA from 2 species
UAGUGUCUCUUGCUCCGCCUGCUCUCCCCGCCACGUGGUGACCGGGCGAGGGCCUCGGGGUGGCGC